AGGGUGGUGGUUCAGUGGUAGAAUUCUUGCCUUGCAUGCGAGAGACCUAGGUUUGAUUCCUGGCCAAUGUA
rnacentral:tRNA from 1 species